CGUGACAUGCUGGAAGGAAGGGGGCUGUUUGCAGAUAACCACAGCCUGCCUCUGCACCGGGUCCUGGCUGUCCCUUCCAGACGGACCUGUCUCUUCCACUCUGAGCCUCUCUGAGCAGAGGUCCCACAGGGUGUUAGUGACCAGAGAUGCUGCCGGUUGAGCUCAAAUGUCACCUCCUCCAAGAAGACUUCUCAGACUACCACCAAAGAGGCCACCAUAUUAUUCUGUCUCCUGAUCCUGUGUAGUUCCUUCAACCCUCUUGUCCCAGUUGAUCUGUUUCAUUGGGGUGUCUUCUUCACCCCAAGGCAUAAGUUUCAUGAAAGAAAAGAAUGUUGUUUGAGUCA